rnacentral:lncRNA from 1 species
NNNNNNNNNNNNNNNNNNNNNNNNNNNNNNNAGCCUUUCCCCUUCUGUGCCCCAACCCAGCCUUUCACCCUUCUGUGCUUGGUGGUUUUCUACUCAUCAUUGAAGACUCAAACCUGUCGGUCCCCCAUGCAGGUAGAGUCCCUGACCAUCCCUCCCCUUUCUGGGCUCCCAGGCCUAGGACCCCCACCCCUACCCCCACCCAGUGCUAGCCCACCCCAAGGACUGCUCUGUCCCUCACCCCUGCCACCAGCGUGGGGCCGGCCCUCCGGGCAUGGUGACCACUCGGCACGCAAGAGACCCAGUUCAUCGACACACACAAAGCCCUCUCCAGCUCCCAUCCCAUCCGCAAAGCCCUCUCCAGCUCCCAUCCCAUCCGCAAAGCCCUCUCCAGCUCCCAUCCCAUCUCCCUGAUGCUCUGCUCCCAGACGCAGCCUCACCAUCACCUCUGUCAGGAAAGGGGUCUCUCGGAGGACUCCAGGCAGAAGGGCCCCGGGGAGGAUCCGGUCCCAUCCAGGAGGCCAUGGGAAAAUCCCCUUUCUUGGCCGGAAGUCUCCUAAACCCUUACCUUGCACUCAAUGAUUUACUUUUCUCUCUUAAGUUAAACCGGAUCAAGAUCUGCGGGUGCCUUUCACAAAGAGAUGAGUUAGGCAUUGUUGCCGCUGGAGGGCCUGUGGCCACUGCAGUGUUUCCAGGAGACCUCGUUCAGAGCAGGGCGCCGCACCCCGAGGCUGCUCCCUAACCCUACUCCAGGGAGGCGCGGUUGGGGAUCUGGCAGCCUCCAGCUUGCAGCACCCAGGCAGCACCCAGGCCGCUCCCUAACCCUACUCCAGGGAGGCACGGUUGGGGAUCUGGCAGCCUCCAGCUCUCAGCACCCAGGCAGCACCCAGGCCGCUCCCUAACCCUACUCCAGGGA